UGGGCAGCAGGAUGUCGAACAGGUCGGCUGCAGGAGGGAGGGGCGAGACUCACGUCAGCCAGUGAGGGAGAGCGGGCGUACCCAACGACACAGAGGAUCCUGAAUUUCACUCACAGAGGAGGAAAAUCCACGUUCAGAAGGUCCUGCAAAGUGAGAGGCUGUCAGAGGCCUUUUUGGAGGAGAGUGCAUACAAGUAUCCACUCCCUCGAACAGAAGCAGGACACUCCAGUGAUGAGACUGGCCCAAAAACACAAACAAGCAUUCCAGUUUGCGAGAAAAGAACAAAUCUGAGGACAGAUAUUGGUCAAGAAGAGAAGCUUGUGCUUCACAUCCUUCAGCUAAGGCCUGAAUCAUUCGUACCCUGCCGGACAGAGGGGCUCAGCAGAGGCGCCCCCACUCUGCGCAGCGCUGGGCACGGACUGAUCCUCUCUGAUCCUGACGCCAUCGAACCGCAUGGGCCCUGUUAUCCUACCAGACAAGGUAACCCACAUCAAAGACACCGCCCCCUGCUGGCUGUACUGGGAGGGGGGGGUGUGUGUAAAGGUAGAGGUAGGCGUGGGAUUUUCUCUCACCCAGAACCAGCGUUGGCCAGCUCGCUAUCCUCGCCUUCAACCCCUGGUAGAAUAUCUGGUGCAGAAACAUGAUGGUCUCACUGCAGAACAAAGAAAUAAAUAUCAUAUAUUUACAAAAAAUUUUAAAACUUGUGUGUGUGUGUGAAAUGAGAAUGUGUCUGUAUGUCACUUCAAUUUUAGUGAUAUGCUAGCGCAAACAAACUGGCUUUCCUGGUGAUAGGGGUGCUUGUCAAAAAAAUCCUGAUAUUGUUCCCACUUAGUGAGGGCAGCACCUAAAGUGAGUGCAUGAUGAGUAGAUGAGCUAUUAUUUUGUGUAAUUUCUGUGUGAUUGUACUGUAUUUUUUAUUUCUGAGGUAAGACCAAAGACAAAAUUCCUGCCUUUGUUGGACAAUAAAGUUCUUUCCUAUUCUAUUCAAUUCUA